UACGAAGGGGGCUAGCGUUGCUCGGAAUCACUGGGCGUAAAGCGCACGUAGGCGGGUUCUUAAGUCAGGGGUGAAAUCCUGGAGCUCAACUCCAGAACUGCCUUUGAUACUGGGAAUCUCGAGUCCGGGAGAGGUGAGUGGAACUGCGAGUGUAGAGGUGAAAUUCGUAGAUAUUCGCAAGAACACCAGUGGCGAAGGCGGCUCACUGGCCCGGUACUGACGCUGAGGUGCGAAAGCGUGGGGAGCGAACAGG
rnacentral:rRNA from 1 species